rnacentral:rRNA from 1 species
UACGUAGGGGGCAAGCGUUGUCCGGAAUCAUUGGGCGUAAAGGGCGCGUAGGCGGCUUCGCAAGUGGAAGGUGAAAUCCCUCGGCUUAACCGAGGAACUGCCCUCCAAACUGCGUGGCUUGAGUCCGGGAGAGGUGAGUGGAAUUCCCAGUGUAGCGGUGAAAUGCGUAGAUAUUGGGAGGAACACCAGUGGCGAAGGCGGCUCACUGGACCGGAACUGACGCUGAGGCGCGAAAGCGUGGGGAGCAAACGGG